CGUUGAGAAGCUAUGGACCAGCGUUAGCCUUUUAAGCUAAAGAAAGAGGACCCACCCCCCUCCUCAACGA
rnacentral:tRNA from 1 species